rnacentral:tRNA from 1 species
GGGCGGUUGGCGCAGCUGGGAGCGCACAUGAUUUACAUUCAUGGGGUCGCAGGUUCAAUCCCUGCACCGCCCACCA